rnacentral:rRNA from 1 species
GUGCCAGCAGCCGCGGUAAAACGUAGGUGGCGAGCGUUAUCCGGAUUCAUUGGGCGUAAAGAGCUUGUAGGCGGCCGCAUAAGUUGGACGUGAAAACUCCGGGCUUAACUUGGAGAGGCCGUUCAAUACUGUGAGGCUGGAGGGUGUCAGAGGGAAGUAGAAUUCCUGGUGUAGCAGUGAAAUGCGUAGAUAUCAGGAGGAAUACCCGUGGCGAAGGCGGCUUCCUGGGGCACCACUGACGCUGAGAAGCGAAAGCUAGGGGAGCAAACGGGAUUAGAUACCCCAGUAGUCC